UACGAAGGGGGCUAGCGUUGUUCGGAAUUACUGGGCGUAAAGCGCACGUAGGCGGAUCGAUCAGUCAGGGGUGAAAUCCCAGGGCUCAACCCUGGAACUGCCUUUGAUACUGUCGAUCUGGAGUAUGGAAGAGGUGAGUGGAAUUCCGAGUGUAGAGGUGAAAUUCGUAGAUAUUCGCAAGAACACCAGUGGCGAAGGCGGCUCACUGGACCGGCAUUGACGCUGAGGUGCGAAAGCGUGGGGAGCAAACAGG
rnacentral:rRNA from 1 species